rnacentral:rRNA from 1 species
GAUGAACGCUGGCGGCGUGCUUAACACAUGCAAGUCGAACGAAGCAUUUGCGACAGAUUUUUUCGGAAUGAAGUUGCUUAUGACUGAGUGGCGGACGGGUGAGUAACGCGUGGGUAACCUGCCUUGUACUGGGGGAUAGCAGCUGGAAACGGCUGGUAAUACCGCAUAAGCGCACAAUGUUGCAUGACAUGGUGUGAAAAACUCCGGUGGUAUAAGAUGGACCCGCGUCUGAUUAGCUAGUUGGUGAGAUAACAGCCCACCAAGGCGACGAUCAGUAGCCGACCUGGGAGGGUGACCGGCCACAUUGGGACUGAGACACGGCCCAGACUCCUACGGGAGGCAGCAGUGGGGAAUAUUGCACAAUGGAGGAAACUCUGAUGCAGCGACGCCGCGUGAGUGAAGAAGUAAUUCGUUAUGUAAAGCUCUAUCAGCAGGGAAGAUAGUGACGGUACCUGACUAAGAAGCUCCGGCUAAAUACGUG